rnacentral:rRNA from 1 species
GACGAACCGUGCGAACGUUGUUCGGAUUCACUGGGCUUAAAGGGCGCGUAGGCGGGCGAUCAAGUCAGGGGUGAAAUCUUUCGGCUCAACCGGAAAAGUGCCCCUGAUACUGAUUGUCUCGAGGGAGGUAGGGGCAUGUGGAACUUCCGGUGGAGCGGUGAAAUGCGUAGAUAUCGGAAGGAACGCCGGUGGCGAAAGCGACGUGCUGGAUCUCUUCUGACGCUGAGGCGCGAAAGCCAGGGGAGCGAACGGG